AUGAGUGAGCACAACUGUACCAUCCUAAACUGGAACGUCCGAGGCCUCAACAAUCCCGCUCGUCGCCAGGUUGUCCGUAACGUCGUUACACAAACUCGUUCCACUGUAAUCUGUCUUCAAGAAACUAAGAUUGCCAACAUUGAUCGCUCGCUCGUUUUAGAGCUGCUGGGAAGCAACUUCGCUGACUCAUUCCGCUCCCUCCUAGCCGAUGGCACCAGAGGGGGUAUCCUCCUGGCCUUCUCGUCAGAUUAUUUCAACAUCAUUAACUCCAGUGCCACCACCAAUACUAUUUCUGCCUCCGUCUCCAUGCGCGCCUCAUCUGCCUCAUGGAGCAUCUCUGCGGUUUAUGACCCUCAAACGGAUGCUGACAAAUUCAGUUUCAUCUCUGAACUGUGCUCUCUCAAAGUAUCCAUGCUUCCCUCUUGGGUUCUCCUUGGGGAUUUCAACCUUCUCUGUCGAGCCGGUGAUAAAAGCAACGGUGCCAUCAAUAGGCGCCUUAUCAACAGCUUCCGUUGGGCGCUGAACUUCCUUGAGCUUGACGAACUGCGCCUCCAUGGUCGCCGUUACACUUGGGCUAGCACUUGCCCGCAGCAGACCAAAACAAAGAUUGAUCACGUCUUCUGCUCAACGGAAUGGGGUCUCCUCUUCCCUGAAUGCCACCUCCGUGCAACUUCCUCUUCCAUCUCGGACCACUGUGUUAUGCUCCUCACGGGCCAAAUCAAUCACAAACGGUUCUCGGGGUUCCGUUUUGAGAAUUAUUGGCUGAAGCUUCGAGGGUUCAGAGAAAUUGUUGCUGAUUCCUGGCAGACGCCCGUGCUUCACGUCGACCCCAUGUGGAGGCUGCACCUCAAGCUGUCCCGCCUGGCCAAAUCCCUACGGCUGUGGAGCCGCCACCGCGUGGGGAACAUUGCCUUGCUAUCUGCCAUCGCUGAGCUGGUGAUCCUGGGCCUCGACUCAGUGCAAGAUGGCCGCCAUCUAUCCAUUGCGGAAAUGGCUCUGCGGCUGCACUUGAAGCACAAGGUUCUCGGUCUAUCAGCCAUCCAGCGAGUGCGGAUCCGGCAAAGAUCGCGCAUUCUCUACCUCCGAGCCAAUGACGCCGACUCCAAACUUUUCCACAUCAAGGCCAACGGCCGCCGCCGGCGCAAUUUCAUCCCUGUCCUUGACUCUGGAACUGCUAUGCUCACCUUGCAAGACGAGAAGCAGCUUGCGCUCCUUCAUCACUUCAACAGCACUCUCGGCACUCCAUCCCGCAGGGGGUGCACGAUCAAUUGGGAGUACCUAGGGAUGCCAAGACAUGAUCUCUCUGCCCUGGAGGUGGAUUUUUCGGAGGAGGAAAUCAGGACUGUUGUGUUUGACAUGCCGUCUGGGAAAGCUCCGGGACCGGACGGAUUCACGGCUGACUUCUUCAAAUGCUGUUGGGAUACCAUUAAGGGUGAUCUCAUAGCUGCUAUCAACCAGCUUUUCUGUCUCCGGGCCAACUGUUGGAACCUGCUAAACUCGGCCUUCAUCACCCUCCUGCCUAAGUCGUCUGAUGCGGUCAGAAUUAAGGACUUCAGGCCCAUUAGCCUAAUGCACUCCAUCGGCAAGAUUGUGUGCAAGCUGCUCGCUAACCGGUUGGCUCCUUUCCUGCAUCAGAUUGUGCCCCACUCGCAGAGUGAAUUCAUCAAAAGCAGAAGCAUUCACGACAACUUCAUGUAUGUCAAGAACACGGUUAAGAUGUUGCACCGUUGUAAGGAACCGGCCCUUCUCCUCAAGCUCGACAUUGCUAGUGCGUUUGACUCUGUAUCCUGGAGAUAUAUGUUCGAGCUCAUGUCUGCGACCGGAUUCGGCCCCCGGUGGUGUGACAUCAUGGCACUCAUGUGGAGUUCUGCUUCUUCCCGGAUAAUGGUUAAUGGGCAGCUUGGUGCUCCAUUCUUUCACCAAAAGGGGCUCCGACAGGGAGACCCAGUGUCACCGAUGUUGUUCACUCUGGCAAUUGCGCCCGUACACUGGCUCCUGGAGAAGGCUGGCUCGGUUGGUGCCCUAUCUGUGCUAAGGUUGCCCCCCUCCAGGCUGCGGAUCAGCCUUUAUGCUGACGACGCUGCACUUUUCAUCGCUCCAACUCCGCAGGAAAUUGAAACCACGAAGGAGAUCCUGAGGGUUUUUGGCUCUGCCUCCGGACUUAUGGCCAAUGUGCAAAAAAGUGCCUUCUUCCCAAUUGCAUGCGAGAACAUUGAUCUGCCCUCUUUGCUGCAUCAGUUCCCCGUGCCUCUGGCUCAGUUCCCAUGCAAGUACCUCGGCCUACCUCUUCACUUCAACAAGAUCACCCGGGCUGACAUUCAGCCAACUCUGGACAAGAUGGCUUCCAGGUUGCAGAUUUGGAGAGGCAGGCUGCUCUCUGGUGACGCUCGCCUCAAGCUAGUAAACUUGGUGCUCUCUGCAAUUCUUGUUCAUCUCCUAUCUAUUUUCAAACUGGAUGGUUGGGCGAUUAGGCAAAUGGAUAAGCUUCGCAGGAACUUCCUUUGGCGUUCUAAGCCGGAUGCCGACAAGGGCCUUGCUCUCAUCAACUGGAGCACAGUUUGCCGUCCCAAGAGGCUGGGAGGCCUUGGAGUACUAGAUCUGAAUCGGUUCAGUAGAGCUCUUCGCCUCAGAUGGAAGUGGUACGAAUGGACUGACAAGGACCGGCCCUGGACGGGCACUGAGAUCCCGUGUGACAAGGAUGAUCCUGCCCUCUUCUCUGCUUCCACGGUGGUUACCAUUGGGAAUGGAAAUUCUGCCAACUUCUGGAAUGAUAGAUGGUUGGAUGGACAUGUGCCACGGCUCCUUGCUCCGGAGAUCUUCAAGCUAUGCUCCCGCAAAAACCUCUGUGUCUUUGAUGCUGUCUCAAACAAGAAAUGGUUGCUGGGCCUCCAGAUCUCUGACAUCUCGCAGCUCAGGCAGUUUGUUGCCCUCUGGACUCGGGUGCAACAGGUAAUUCUGGACCCCCUUGCCUCUGACUCCAUCUCCUGGGUCUGGAACAGCUCCCAAUCCUACUCCGCGUCCUCGGCAUAUCAAUGUCAGUUCCUGGGCUCUGUCUCUCCAGCUCAACUUGAUAAGAUGUGGACAGUACAAGUGGAAGCCAAGUGCAAGUUCUUCAUGUGGCUCUGGCUAUGGGGUCGUAUCCUCACAGCCAAUAACCUGGCUAUACGUGGAAUCCCACACGAUGACAUCUGCAGCUUCUGUGAUCAGGAUGAUGAGACGCCCUACCACCUAAUUCUUGCUUGCCCGUUUGCUCGUACGAUCUGGAUUUUGGUGGGAAACGACCUUGCCAUGCCCAUUCUUGCCACCAACGCUCAGAUCGCUGUCUCAAUCAAGCACUGGUGGGACGACUUGACUUCAGGCCUCCCGAGAGCUACAAAGAAGGCGGCCAUCUACACUGCUUGGAACACCUGGAAGGAACGGAACCGCCGAGUGUUCGAGCACCAUUCGCUCCAGGAAGCUGCUAUCCUUCAUCUCAUCAAGCAAGACAUCUACAUCGCCUCCAGCUCCGCUCGGUGGCUAUCUGAUGUAGAAAACUACCCGCCUCCAGAGUCGGACUGA
rnacentral:rRNA from 1 species